rnacentral:rRNA from 1 species
GACGUAGGGGGCGAGCGUUGUCCGGAUUAUUGGGCGUAAAGAGCGCGUAGGCGGCCCGUUAAGUCGGAUGUGAAAACCCGUGGCUCAACCACGGGCCUGCAUCCGAUACUGGCGGGCUCGAGGCAGGCAGGGGAGAUCGGAAUUCCUGGUGUGAGCGGUGAAAUGCGCAGAUAUCUGGAGGAACAUCAGUGGCGAAAGCGACUUCCUGGACCAGUACCGACGUCAGGCACGAAAGCGUGGGGAGCAAACAG